rnacentral:rRNA from 1 species
UCAACCGCGGAAGGGCACUGGAAACUGGCGGACUAGAGUACAGGAGAGGAGAGCGGAAUUCCCGGUGUAGCGGUGGAAUGCGUAGAUAUCGGGAGGAACACCGAGUGGCGAAGGCAGCUCUCUGGCCUGUCACUGACCCUCAGGGACGAAAGCGUGGGCAGCAAACAGGAUUAGAUACCCUGGUAGUCCACGCCGUAAACGUUGUGCACUCGAUGCGGGGCCUUCGGGUUCCGUGUCCAAGCCAACGCGUUAAGUGCACCGCCUGGGGACUACGGCCGCAAGGCUAAAACUCGAAGGAAUUGACGGGGGCCCGCACAACCGGUGGAGCAUGUGGCUCAAUUCGAGGCUACGCGAAGAACCUUACCCGGGCUUGACAUAUACCGGCUUGCCUGUGAAAGCAGGCUUUCCCGUUCGCGGGACCG